UUAAGCGACUAAGCGUACACGGUGGAUGCCCUGGCAGUCAGAGGCGAUGAAGGACGUGCUAAUCUGCGAAAAGCGUCGGUAAGGUGAUAUGAACCGUUAUAACCGGCGAUGUCCGAAUGGGGAAACCCAGUGUGAUUCGUCACACUAUCGUUAACUGAAUACAUAGGUUAACGAGGCGAACCGGGGGAACUGAAACAUCUAAGUACCCCGAGGAAAAGAAAUCAACCGAGAUUCCCCCAGUAGCGGCGAGCGAACGGGGAGCAGCCCAGAGUCUGAAUCAGCUUGUGUGUUAGUGGAACGGUCUGGAAAGUCCGACGGUACAGGGUGAUAGUCCCGUACACCAAAAUGCACAGGCUGUGAACUCGAAGAGUAGGGCGGGACACGUGGUAUCCUGUCUGAAUAUGGGGGGACCAUCCUCCAAGGCUAAAUACUCCUGACUGACCGAUAGUGAACCAGUACCGUGAGGGAAAGGCGAAAAGAACCCCGGCGAGGGGAGUGAAAAAGAACCUGAAACCGUGUACGUACAAGCAGUGGGAGCACCUUCGGGUGUGACUGCGUACCUUUUGUAUAAUGGGUCAGCGACUUAUAUUCUGUAGCAAGGUUAACCGUAUAGGGGAGCCGCAGGAAACCGAGUCUUAACUGGGCGUUAAGUUGCAGGGUAUAGACCCGAAACCCGGUGAUUCAGCCAUGGGCAGGUUGAAGGUUGGGUAACACUAACUGGAGGACCGAACCGACUAAUGUUGAAAAAUUAGCGGAUGACUUGUGGCUGGGGUGAAAGGCCAAUCAAACCGGGAGAUAGCUGGUUCUCCCGAAAGCUAUUUAGGUAGCGCCUCGUGAACUCAUCUUCGGGGUAGAGCACUGUUUCGGCUAGGGGUCAUCCCGACUUACCAACCCGAUGCAAACUACGAAUACCGAAGAAUGUUAUCACGGGAGACACACGGCGGGUGCUAACGUCCGUCGUGAAGAGGGAAACAACCCAGACCGCCAGCUAAGGUCCCAAAGUCAUGGUUAAGUGGGAAACGAUGUGGGAAGGCACAGACAGCCAGGAUGUUGGCUUAGAAGCAGCCAUCAUUUAAAGAAAGCGUAAUAGCUCACUGGUCGAGUCGGCCUGCGCGGAAGAUGUAACGGGGCUAAACCAUGCACCGAAGCUGCGGCAGCGACACUAUGUGUUGUUGGGUAGGGGAGCGUUCUGUAAGCCUGCGAAGGUGACCUGUGAGGGUUGCUGGAGGUAUCAGAAGUGCGAAUGCUGACAUAAGUAACGAUAAAGCGGGUGAAAAGCCCGCUCGCCGGAAGACCAAGGGUUCCUGUCCAACGUUAAUCGGGGCAGGGUGAGUCGACCCCUAAGGCGAGGCCGAAAGGCGUAGUCGAUGGGAAACAGGUUAAUAUUCCUGUACUUGGUGUUACUGCGAAGGGGGGACGGAGAAGGCUAUGUUAGCCGGGCGACGGUUGUCCCGGUUUAAGCAUGUAGGCUGGUUAUCCAGGCAAAUCCGGAUAAUCAAGGCUGAGGUGUGAUGACGAGGCACUACGGUGCUGAAGUAACAAAUGCCCUGCUUCCAGGAAAAGCCUCUAAGCAUCAGGUAACAUCAAAUCGUACCCCAAACCGACACAGGUGGUCAGGUAGAGAAUACCAAGGCGCUUGAGAGAACUCGGGUGAAGGAACUAGGCAAAAUGGUGCCGUAACUUCGGGAGAAGGCACGCUGGUGUGUAGGUGAAGCCCCUGCGGGUGGAGCUGAGACCAGUCGAAGAUACCAGCUGGCUGCAACUGUUUAUUAAAAACACAGCACUGUGCAAACACGAAAGUGGACGUAUACGGUGUGACGCCUGCCCGGUGCCGGAAGGUUAAUUGAUGGGGUUAUCCGUAAGGAGAAGCUCUUGAUCGAAGCCCCGGUAAACGGCGGCCGUAACUAUAACGGUCCUAAGGUAGCGAAAUUCCUUGUCGGGUAAGUUCCGACCUGCACGAAUGGCGUAAUGAUGGCCAGGCUGUCUCCACCCGAGACUCAGUGAAAUUGAACUCGCUGUGAAGAUGCAGUGUACCCGCGGCAAGACGGAAAGACCCCGUGAACCUUUACUAUAGCUUGACACUGAACAUUGAGCCUUGAUGUGUAGGAUAGGUGGGAGGCUUUGAAGCGUGGACGCCAGUCUGCGUGGAGCCAACCGAAAUACCACCCUUUAAUGUUUGAUGUUCUAACGUUGGCCCCUUACCGGGGUUGCGGACAGUGUCUGGUGGGUAGUUUGACUGGGGCGGUCUCCUCCCAAAGCGUAACGGAGGAGCACGAAGGUUAGCUAAUCGGUCGGACAUCAGGAGGUUAGUGCAAUGGCAUAAGCUAGCUUGACUGCGAGCGUGACGGCGCGAGCAGGUGCGAAAGCAGGUCAUAGUGAUCCGGUGGUUCUGAAUGGAAGGGCCAUCGCUCAACGGAUAAAAGGUACUCCGGGGAUAACAGGCUGAUACCGCCCAAGAGUUCAUAUCGACGGCGGUGUUUGGCACCUCGAUGUCGGCUCAUCACAUCCUGGGGCUGAAGUAGGUCCCAAGGGUAUGGCUGUUCGCCAUUUAAAGUGGUACGCGAGCUGGGUUUAGAACGUCGUGAGACAGUUCGGUCCCUAUCUGCCGUGGGCGCUGGAGAAUUGAGGGGGGCUGCUCCUAGUACGAGAGGACCGGAGUGGACGCAUCACUGGUGUUCGGGUUGUCAUGCCAAUGGCACUGCCCGGUAGCUAAAUGCGGAAGAGAUAAGUGCUGAAAGCAUCUAAGCACGAAACUUGCCCCGAGAUGAGUUCUCCCUGAGACUUUAAGUCUCCUGAAGGAACGUUGAAGACGACGACGUUGAUAGGCCGGGUGUGUAAGCGCAGCGAUGCGUUGAGCUAACCGGUACUAAUGAACCGUGAGGCUUAACCU
rnacentral:rRNA from 1 species